rnacentral:rRNA from 1 species
UACGUAGGUGGCAAGCGUUGUCCGGAAUCAUUGGGCGUAAAGAGCGCGUAGGCGGCUUGCCAGGUCCGAUGUGAAAGCCUGGGGCUUAACUCCAGAACUGCAUCGGAAACCGGCUUGCUAGAGUCUGGGAGAGGGGAGUGGAAUUCCUGGUGUAGCGGUGAAAUGCGUAGAUAUCAGGAGGAACACCGGUAGCGAAGGCGGCUCCCUGGAACAGUACUGACGCUGAGGCGCGAAAGCUAGGGGAG